rnacentral:rRNA from 1 species
AGAGUUUGAUCCUGGCUCAGGAUGAACGCUGGCGGCGUGCUUAACACAUGCAAGUCGAACGGACGGAAGGGGUUCGCUCCUUCCGUUAGUGGCGGACGGGUGUAACGCGUGAGCAAUCUGCCCGUAUCUGGGGAAUAACAGUUAGAAAUGACUGCUAAUACCGCAUAUGACCACGAAGAGGCAUCUCUUUGCGGUGAAAGAUUUUAUCGGAUACGGAUGAGCUCGCGUCCCAUUAGGUAGUUGGUGAGGUAACGGCCCACCAAGCCGACGAUGGGUAGCCGACCUGAGAGGGUGAUCGGCCACAUUGGAACUGAGACACGGUCCAAACUCCUACGGGAGGCAGCAGUGGGGAAUAUUGGGCAAUGGAGGCAACUCUGACCCAGCAACGCCGCGUGAGUGACGAAGGUCUUCGGAUUGUAAAACUCUUUAAGUGGGGACGAAGAAAGUGACUGUACCCACAGAAUAAGCCUCGGCUAACUACGUGCCAGCAGCCGCGGUAAUACGUAGGAGGCAAGCGUUAUCCGGAAUGACUGGGCGUAAAGGGUGCGUAGGUGGUUUGGUAAGUUAGUAGCGUAACUCCGGGGCUUAACUUCGGAACUACUACUAAAACUGUCAGGCUUGAGUGCAGGAGAGGCAAAUGGAAUUCCUAGUGUAGCGGUGGAAUGCGUAGAUAUUAGGAGGAACACCAGUGGCGAAGGCGAUUUGCUGGACUGUUACUGACACUGAGGCACGAAAGCGUGGGGAGCAAACAGGAUUAGAUACCCUGGUAGUCCACGCUGUAAACGAUGAAUACUAGGUGU